GACGAACGCUGGCGGCGUGCCUAACACAUGCAAGUCGAACGGAACGGCCCUGCUUUUGUGGGGUGGUCGAGUGGCGAACGGGUGAGUAACACGUGAGUACCCUGCCCCUGCCUUUGGGAUAUCUUCAGGCAACUGGGGCUAUUACCGGCUAGGAGCUCCUGCUGCAUGGUGGGGGUUGGAAAGUUUCGACGGUUGGGGGUGGACUCGCGGCUUAUCGGCUUGUUGGGUGGGUAGUGGCUUACCAAGGCUUUGACGGGUAGCCGGCCUGGGAGGGUGAGCGGCCCAGCUAGGACGGGGAUACGACCCGGCCUCCAACGGGACGGGACGGUGGAGAAUAUAACACUAUGGGCGGAAGGCAGGUGCAGCAAAGCCACGUGGGGGAAGACGGCCAUCGGGUUGUGAUCCACUGUCGCCUGAGACGAGGCGAGAGUGACGGUAAUGGGUGAAGAAGCACCGGCUAACUACGUG
rnacentral:rRNA from 1 species